UACGUAGGGGGCAAGCGUUAUCCGGAUUUACUGGGUGUAAAGGGAGCGUAGACGGAUGGACAAGUCUGAUGUGAAAGGCUGGGGCUCAACCCCGGGACUGCAUUGGAAACUGCCCGUCUUGAGUGCCGGAGAGGUAAGCGGAAUUCCUAGUGUAGCGGUGAAAUGCGUAGAUAUUAGGAGGAACACCAGUGGCGAAGGCGGCUUACUGGACGGUAACUGACGUUGAGGCUCGAAAGCGUGGGGAGCAAACAGGAUUAGAUACCCGGGUAGGACUGACU
rnacentral:rRNA from 1 species